GAGUUUGAUCGUGGCUCAGAUUGAACGCUGGCGGCAUGCCUUACACAUGCAAGUCGAACGGCAGCAUGAUCUAGCUUGCUAGAUUGAUGGCGAGUGGCGAACGGGUGAGUAAUACAUCGGAACGUGCCCUGUAGUGGGGGAUAACUAGUCGAAAGAUUAGCUAAUACCGCAUACGACCUGAGGGUGAAAGUGGGGGACCGCAAGGCCUCAUGCUAUAGGAGCGGCCGAUGUCUGAUUAGCUAGUUGGUGGGGUAAAGGCCCACCAAGGCGACGAUCAGUAGCUGGUCUGAGAGGACGAUCAGCCGACACUGGGACUGAGGACACGGGCCCAGACGUCCUACGGGAGGCAGCAGUGGGGAAUUUUGGACAAUGGGCGAAAGCCUGAUCCAGCAAUGUCGCGUGUGUGAAGAAGGCCU
rnacentral:rRNA from 1 species